CACUCCUGCGGGAGGCAGCAGUGGGGAAUAUUGCACAAUGGGCGCAAGCCUGAUGCAGCCAUGCCGCGUGUAUGAAGAAGGCCUUCGGGUUGUAAAGUACUUUCAGCGGGGAGGAAGGCAAUACGGUUAAUAACCGUGUUGAUUGACGUUACCCGCAGAAGAAGCACCGGCUAACUCCGUGCCAGCAGCCGCGGUAAUACGGAGGGUGCAAGCGUUAAUCGGAAUUACUGGGCGUAAAGCGCACGCAGGCGGUCUGUCAAGUCGGAUGUGAAAUCCCCGGGCUCAACCUGGGAACUGCAUUCGAAACUGGCAGGCUUGAGUCUUGUAGAGGGGGGUAGAAUUCCAGGUGUAGCGGUGAAAUGCGUAGAGAUCUGGAGGAAUACCGGUGGCGAAGGCGGCCCCCUGGACAAAGACUGACGCUCAGGUGCGAAAGCGUGGGGAGCAAACAGGAUUAGAUACCCUUGUAGUCCCAUGA
rnacentral:rRNA from 1 species